AAGCCAAAAUUCCCAAACAAUUCCCAGAUGCGCAGCCACGCGACCCCCUCCCCACGCUCUCUCCUCGCUCUCUCCCUUCCUCUUAUCCUCUCCCCGCGUCUCCCCCACGCUCGCUCUCUCCUUCCCCUCUCGACAAAAACCCAUAAUUCCCCAGAAAUCACGCGAAAAACAGAGAGACUCCAACAACCCCACGCUCUUCUCCUUCCAUCUUUCUCUUCGCGUGAACCAAACGGAAGCGCAGAGACCCAUACGCUGUCGAGUAGGUCUGCGAGGUGUCAAUUUCAUCCUCUCCAACACGCCUGUGCCAUGUGAAGUUUGACCGAAACGGGAUUUAGUUUCGAUUUCAAAAGGAGAAAAGGGGGGCUAUUUCUUCUCCUCUAUAAAUACCCCUUUUCUUCAUCAGAAAAGGGGUGAGAGAUUUUUUCAUCGAAAAAUUCGGAAAAGCAGAACUUGGAGCGCUGGGAAUUUUGGGAGUUGAAAGAAUGUUAGAUAUUUGAGAUUUUUGAAAAAGAAAAGAAAGACACAGAAAAGGGUUAGGGAUUUUGGUUGAGAAAAUUUUCGAAAAAAAAAGACUCUGCUUCUUCCGUCUCUUGUUAGGAAAUUUUGGGUUGGGAACGUUGUUUGAAAUUCUGGGUUUAUUCCAUUGUUUCUGAGAUAACCAAAAGAAGUUAGAAAAUUUGGUUAGAAAUUCUGGUUUAGGAAGACUUUGAAGAAGAUUUCUUCCUGUCCUGUUCGUGUAGCAAAACAGUCGGGAUUUUUCGGGAAUAGGACUCCAAUACGAAGAACAAACGAGAUAAACGUCUAGCCGUGGGUCGCGUGGGGAAGUCAUCGUCGUCUGCUCGCCGUCAUCCCUGUUCCGCUGCUCCGAGAAAGGUACAUGUCCCAUUUUUCUUUAUUAUUUUAAAUUUUCUUUAUGGAGUUGAGUCGUGGUUUGUGGUGCUGUCAACAUGAGGUAUCAUAUUUCGUUUGGUUGUUUAAGUCUGGAAUAUGUCUUACGUUGUGAUUCUGUCCCAAUGUGAUGGUUCGUCGACAUUGCUUCUCUGUUUGUCUUCACGAGUUAGUCAUGACUUUGUAUUUGUUUCGAGGAGCCUUCGCCGUAUGACAUGUGAUGUUUGUUAAUCGACUUGCUGGCCCUUUCUUAGUUUGUGGUCGAACAUGUUGAGAUACUCGAAAAUGUGAAUAUACAUGGUCGGUUGAGCUUGUCUUUGUGGUUUGUUAACACUGUCGCUGCUUUGCUUGCCAUUUAGAACUUUCAAUAUAUGCUAGCUUAAUCUCGUAGAACACUAUUUAUUCGUCACAUGAUUGGAAUGAGAUUGUUAAGACAUAUUGGCAAGAGCUUCUGUGAAAUGACUCAUUAAUCCGAGUAUCGAUGUCUAUUCGUUAAAGCAGGCUCUUGGAUUGUUUGUAUGCAUGUAUGUAUGUUUAGAGUGUAAUUUUCCCUUGUUGUCUCGUCCAAGCUUGCUCAUGAUGUCUAUCUCGCGGGAGUUGUAGUUGUAAGCUUCUUUUCAAUCGAACCUUCUUCAAGCUUUUGGUUCGAGUAUCGCUUUAAGAAUAUAUGAGGGUUGUUUAUUCUCUAUAAUGUAUUUAUCUCCCAAACUUGUUAUCUUGUUUAGAUAUCAUGUUUGUCAGGCGUCUUGCAUGAAAGUUUCGUUUUGUAUGCCGUAUGGGUGGUGUGGAUUUUGGAAAUCUGUGGUUUGAAAGGCCAUCUUUAUCUUGGUGGCCACUUGUGUUAGCUGUCCGAGGUCACAGCCAUGUAGUAGGUCGAUUGAAUGGUCCUUUCGCUUAGUGUGUUAGAUGUUUGGGUGAUAAGGUGAUCGGGAUCCUGUUUUAUUUGAUGAGGCUGUCCUCUUAUGAUUGGUUCAAGUUUGUUUCAAAUGUUUGAAGCGCAAAACGGCUAAUUGAUACUCAAUUUAUGAUGCAUCUCUAUUUGUAUUCGUUAUUUAUCCCAUGCUAAGUCCUUUCUUUAAAUAUAAAAUUUGGAAAUUACCAACAAUUUUGUGUGAAGGUUUCACUACACUUGGGGUUUCGCCGCACAGUUUAUGUAUCGUUAUGUAGUGUCAUUUAGGUUGACUGAUUUGCAUAUCUCUAAGUACCAUUAAGGUUGUUGGAUGUUGGCUUUGCUUCUCAUGAAGAUUUAAUUAGUAUUGCAUUAUAAAGAUAUCCUUGUUAUGCUUUAGAACCUUGCUUAUUCUAAUUGUAGUUUUAAAAAUGCCAAUCUUCAUUUUAUCGUUUUUUUUGUGACAUGUGAAAACUCCCCGUGAGUCCAUUAUGGGAAUCUUAUUAUCCUCCUCGCAUUUCGAGAGAGUCUUGAAGACUCUGAACUUUAUCGAGUCAAUUCAUCAAAACGAGCAAGUGUAGAAAGACAAGGGUCAUGGAGAUUGAAGACGAUGGACUAAAAGACUUUUCUUUCGUUUUAUUUUACUUUGCAUAUUUUGUAAUGGGCCUAAGCCCUCUUGUCGUUUUUUUGUUUUCUAUAUUAUGUUUGUAUGUUUAGAUUAGGACAGGUACAGAAAUGGGCUAAAAAACCCAAAGGCAGGUGGGUCCAACAUUCGGUCAAGGAUAACAGAACCCGGAGUUGGACCCAAAUCUCUCUCUCUCUAUCCUUCUCUUUACUAUUUGCUUAUCUUAUUUUGUUUUCAAUGCCGUUAGCUUAGGAUUAGGAAACUCCAAACCCUCAUCGAACGCCUGUUAUUUUAUCAAACCUAAAAAAUUUUAAAACUAACUUCUAAAUGAUAAAUUGUUUCAAAUUCGUAAGGCUUGUUUAGAUAAAACCUUGAGUAAGCUUAACUUUGAAAUGGUUUCGUAAACUGGCAAGAUAAACAAUAAAUAUUUCAAAAUUGGCUAAGUUUGGCUAAGUAAGUCAUGUUAAAAGUUCAAAUAAAUUUGCAAAGGUUAAAAAUAAAAAUAAUCAAAUAGUUAAUCAUUGGAAAACCGUAAGUUAACGGAGUGUUUUGGGUGCCUUACACCUUCCUAAGAUACUAAUAGGAAUCCCGAACCCUUAAAAUGUUUCAAAACAAUUUUUUCUGUUUAAGUUGUUUAGAAACGAAGUUUUCUUGAUUUUUCUUAAAAAUUAAGUGGCGACUCCUAAAAGUCUAAAAACAAACUCUUUUCGAAAAUCACCACCCUUUUUCGAUAAAACAGAAAUGGCGACUCCACUGGGGACUUGGAGGAUUCUAACCUUAAGAUUAACGUAUUUGAUUAUUUGUGAUUAACUGUUUAAAUGUUUAAAUUGUUUAGAUUUUUAAACUGCUGCAUACAUAGCAUACAUACUUCCGUCAAACGACACUUUUUUACAUUUCCACUAAAGGACGAUUAUGCGGGUUCGCAGUCGUUCGUUAACCAAAAAUCUUCUCGGGGCACCCUGACGAGUGUAGUUGAUUACUUGAUAGUCAACGAUCGUUAAUUGUUCCAGCCCAAGUAGUCCGCUUGGGUUACCCAUUCCACUCUAAAUACAACCCACUCUUAGUCAAACUAGGAUAGAGCGAAACCAAAUCCCGAAAAUAGCGCAUUGGCCUAAGAUGACCCGACACCCAAGGAGUGUCGGGCCCAUUAGAAAAGUCCACCUUGAGUCCAAAGAGCCUGCGGCUCGAUAGGACGCUCAUGUUUGUUGUUUAAAUUUGAAGGAUGUAUUGCGUGUUUAACGAGUUGUUGUAUCGGGGGGAUUGAAAAUUAACUAGUUGUAUGUUUUUGUAGAUGUCAAGUCAGUUCCUUCACUUCAAAAUGGUCACCCAGGCACCCGACAUUCUUCGAGUAUGGUGGGAAAAUCUUAAGGAGUGUCAGAAGAGAGAGAUCUCGAUUUACUUGGGUCACCUACCUUCGAUAAUGGACUUCAAGGUAUGGCCCACGUUUAUCGAAGUCAUCACCCGAUUCUGGGACGAUAAGAAGAUGGUCUUUCGAUUUGGAGAUGUCGAAAUAAAACCCACAUUAGAAGAGAUCAAAGAUUGCCUUGACUCGAUUGGGACGUGUGGCAAAAGGAAAAAGCGUCCCGAUCAUCACAUUCUCCUGCCAGAUAGGCCAACCGAGACUGAGCUAAGAGACAUAUUAUCCCUAGUGAAUGCGAAUUGGCUAGAGACUCACAACAUUCCACUGAUGAGGUUUUUCGAGAGGUGGGGGCACGACAAUUAUUUUAGAUUGUUCCCGGACGAAUUCCAUGAUCACAGUACUUGGAGGCAAACUCAAGCUAUCGCUUUCUCCGCAUGCCUCUUGGGAACUAUGGUGUUCCCUAAAGACGAAGGAAAAGAGAUCGACACCCGGGUAAUAAUGGUAGUGAAUGCCAUGUUCAGAGGAGUCGGUAGAAAAUCUGAAGAAAAGAAAUAUUGCUGUUUGGCCCCAGUCAUCCUGUCCGACAUUUACCGAUCUUUGAGCCUGUGCAAGAAUGGUUUUCCGUUUUUCCAAGGUUGCAACAUCUUACUUCAAUGGUGGUUGACGGAGCAUCUAUGCAAAAGAGACAACCCCCAGCUACAUGGUUUGGCCGAACCAAGUCAAACAAGUCCUCUCAAUAAUUACGAGUUCUACUUGAGUAUCCGUAAAUUUCCAAUUCACACCACCAGGGAUGCGUGGGCAAAGGUGUUUUACAAUUUGAAAGAAGGAGACAUACAAUGGGUAUUACCGAGCUUCAGGUCUCAGAUGAUAGCAGCCCAAGGGGCCAAAUUGCCAUUUUUAGUCCUUCCCGGCAUCAGAGGAUUGCGUCCUUACAACCCGACACGAGUAAUGCGGCAAUUUGGGAAAGUCCAAAUCAUACCCGCCCAAGGAGAUGCCAGCUCUUUCAUUGUUGAUUACAACGGGAAGGACAAAAUACCUUUCGCUAAAAUUAUCCUCCAGGAAUGGGCCGGACGUGUCAACAUGAAGUGGGAGGUCACCGAAGAUAGGUAUGGAGCUGGGUAUGUCGACGAAUAUAAGACAUGGUUGCAUAAUAAUUUGCAUGGUGUAGUGGAUCCGACACCACGCACAAGUCGGAAAAUCGAAGACGUGGAGACAAGGCUUCAGAUUCACGCGUACCAUUUUCAGCAAGAGUGGGACCGGAGGGAGCAGGAAUUCUAUAAGAAAGAACAGGAAUUUCAACAAAGGGAGCAAGCGUACCAACUCCGGGAAUUAGAAAAUCAGAGAGUUUUAGCCGUAAUGUCACAAGAAUUAGCUGACACAAGGACUUGUCUAAUGCGUUUGGACACUAUUUUGGACGAGCAGAUGAACACCUUACAAGCCGUACCAACAUCUUCCAAAGCUGCGUUCGCGGAGCCAUACGUGUUCACCAGCAAAUGCAUUAUCCGAGAAGAAGUGGAGAAGGCCAGAAGAGGAGCUGGAUCAUCGACCUUUUAACUCCCCUGCGUGGGAUUGAUUUUAUAUGUGUAUUUGCACUACAUCCCCUUCCCAAGAUAUAUCCCGUUUAAUUUUGAUUGUGUAAUGAACGCUAUGACAUCUAGUGAAAUUUGUUUCGGGGAUACAAUUACUUAUUUAAAUGGCGCAAUACAUCCUUCAGAUCGCUAGGCCUACCCUUGGCACAAAAGGGUCACAUGCAUGUUUAGGACACGAUAUAUUUGUUUAAAUGUUUAUAUGUUAUGUUGCUUUGAUUGAGGAUAUCGUAAACCCACUCCUAGCCAAAAUUCAAAAGAGUAUACAGAAGCCAACAUUACAAAUGUCCGACCAAAAUUCCCGAGUCCCAAGUUUCUCACACAAAAUCCAUACCAUAAAUCCUAAAUACCGCUCUAUCAUCUCAGGAAAGUCGAAUCACCGCUAUGGACAAAGGCAAGAACGUCCAGACGGAGCUCACUGAGGAGGAAUUGCAAAGAAAGAUCGAGCGAGUCACUCGAGAGAUUCAGAAGGUUAAGGAAGAAGGACUCAAAGUAGACGCGACCACGGCGAUCUACAAAGCUGCGGUCACAACAUUGGAUGAAGAUCUGGCGUCACAGAUAAAGAGAAAGAAGGAGGUUGAGAUGGAAACCGAAAGCCUAAGGAAAAGGUUGAACUUGCUUCGUUUGGAGAUACACGAAGGAAAGGCGAGAGAGGCGAAGAUAGAUAUCGAGACUGCUGUGUUGUUGGACAGAAGCACGGCGCUCGACGAGGAAUUGGCAACCCAUAGCGACCCAAAGGGCGGAAAAUACCUCGCCCGUGAUCAGGGAACAGGCAACAGUGGCCCCGGCCAUGAAGUGAUUGAGGAGGAUGAUGAAGAAGAAAUCGUCUACAAGCCUCCAUUUUCGACUGCAUGAAAGGAAAGGAAUGGCGCAGCCACAAGACAAGAAAUCUCCAAAUGUGGUCUUCUAGAAAUCUCAAUGUUGUUUUUCAAUUCCCUUGUAAUCACAACGAAAGAAUGAAUGGAAAAUUUUCAUCCUAAAAUCCGAACUACGUUGGGCCUGAAUUCUCCCCGUGAGAUACGUAGGCAGCCUUCCCGGCCCGGCCCCUAUCACAGAAAAUUUUCAUUCUCCUCCAUGUUUCGGAGAUACGAAGAUAAGAUCAACAGACGUCGCAAAGCAGCUGCAAGAAGACCAUAGCUCAACGUGAUUCAGAUUUCCCAAGAUAUCUCCAAACAAACAAAUUCCUGUUUGUUCAAAAUAUAUAUCCGUCCUUAUUCGUGGGUUAAGAUAUCCUCAAACAAAACGACUUGUGUGCUUAUCUGUUUUAUGUGCGAUAUUAUGCAUUUUGUACUCUGGAUAUGCACUAACAAAUUUGCCUUUGAGUUGUUUCUACCUCUCAGGUACCUUUUACUGAUCUGUGUCGAUAAAGCUGGCAGAUCAUUCUUACUUCACCAGGUCAAAAGGUCCUACAGAUUCCUUCCCUCGAUCAAAUUCAGACAAAGGAAAAAUAGUUAUGGGAGACAACAAUGACGAAGGGCGUCUUACAGACGUUGUGGUGGCUCAGCCCACUGUAGUGGAACAGAACGAAUUGAUCAUGCAACUGAUGCAACAGAUUGCUGAAAUGAAAGUUGAAAUGCAACGGAGACAGGAUGCGCCUCCACCUGGAUUUGGUACUAAUAUUGCUGAUGCAAGACCUCCGGUCUACUUCCUUUCAUCAAACAUAGAUCCAACUCAGAACCAGCCUUCUACACCUGUGCAUAAUCCGUCUGUGAUUGACCUCACAACCCAAAACCCUCAAUACGCUUCUGCAUCUUACCAAACUCCUUCACCUCUUCCAAAUAACCACCCUCAAAUACCACCCCAUCCUCAGAAUACUCAAACUGCCCCACCGCCACAAAAUCAAAACCAAACUCAAACUGCCUUCAAUACCCAAGCAUUUCAUCCGCAUUUGAGUCAGAACACCAAUCCUCAGGCCUACCCACAAAACUACCAGACCGUCCAAAACGUUCCAAGUCCCUCUAUAGCUCCACCCCUACCAAAAAGAGCCACCUUCCAAGUUCCCGUUCCUGCCGAGCACGAGGUGCACGGUUCUGAGUUGGAUCACUAUGAAGAACAGGAAAGAGAAUGGAAGGCGAAAGAAGAAGUGAAGAUCGAUAUAAAGGAAGAAAUCAAAAGGGCUAUGAAAGAGCUGCAGUGCAUCCCAGACGCCGUCGGACUUAGCUACGCAGAAUUGUGCAUCCAUCCAGAUUUGAACCUUCCCGAAGGUUUUAAAAUUCCGAAGUUUGACACCUUCGGAGGAGUGGGCAAUCCUAUGGCGCAUUUGAGAGCGUAUUGUGACCAGCUCGUGGGAGUUGGCAGGGAUGAGGCCUUGUUGAUGCGGCUUUUCAGCCGAAGUCUGUGUGGAGAGGCCCUCGAGUGGUUUACUUCACAUGAAACCAGGCAGUGGCCCAGUUGGAAUGCAUUGGCUAAGGACUUCAUUGACCGAUUCGCCUACAAUGUUGAAAUAGUGCCCGAUCGGUAUUCUCUAGAGAAGAUGAAGCAGAAACCAACUGAAAGCUAUAGGGAAUUUGCCUAUAGGUGGAGGAAAGAAGCGGCGAGGGUAAGGCCACCCAUGACCGAGAAAGAGAUUGUGGAAGUGUUCGUGCGGGUACAGGAGCCUGAGUACUAUGAUAGAAUCAUGUUGCUGGUCGGAGCUAAAUUCGCUGAGAUAGUCAAAGUCGGUGAGACUAUCAAAGAUGGUCUAAAAUCGGGGAAGAUAGCCCGUGUAUCUGCGUCGCCUGGGUCUUCAGGAUUGAUAAGAAAGCGAAGAGAGGAAGUUGCCGCUGUCUCGUAUGGGGGAAGAAAAACCCCUAAAAACCCGUCACAUUCCCAAGAUCGUUCCAGGCCUUCCCCAAAGUCUCACCGAUCCUACUACCCACAAUCCAAUCAUCCUAAUAACCACAAUACUAUCCCCACCUAUCAGAAUGCUCAAAUUUCGUCGUACUAAGGUCCACCCUCUAAUCUCCAAAAUUUUUCUCCCAUAUUCCCAAAUUACCCUCAACCAUACCAGAUCCCAUCCCCUUAUCAGAAUAUUGCUCCCAACUGUGCCAACGUACAGUCGAGCUACCGACCACCUCCGCCCACUUAUCAAGUCCAAGCUCCAUUAUACCAGGACCCCCUCCCGAAUUACCAAGCUCCAAUGCCAAAUUUCCAGGCAAACCCUUAUCCCCGGAGCCAAGCCCCUCGUACAAAUACCCAAAAUUAUCAGCGGGUGCCUCCCCCUCGGCAAAGCAAUUAUGAUACUUCCCGUCCGAGAUCUGAAAAAAGGCCUUCAAGGAACUUUACCAUACUUGCUGAAAGCCGGACCAAACUAUUUGAGAGGCUAGCCGCAGAUGGAUACAUCCACCCUGUGGGGCCCAAACCCGGGGAUGUCAACUCAAAGUUCUACAGGCCAGAUCAAAGGUGUGCUUAUCAUUCCAAUCGUGUUGGACAUGACACGGAAGAUUGCAUCAACCUUAAGCACAAAAUCCAAGACCUGAUCGAUCAGGAGGUAGUUUCUCUUCAACCGGCGGUGCCAAACGUCAACACAAAUCCGUUGCCGAAUCAUGGAGGUGACAACCUUAAUAUGAUUGAAACGGAUGAAGACGGGUGUGGAACAAAGAUGAUUACCCCUAUUAUGAAUGAGGACUUGGAAAGGGCUGUCGCUUCUUUAAGUGUCAAAGAGAGGAGGAAGUUUGUUAUUCUGACACCUGCAAAGGCUGUUGCCUUGGUGCCUUCGAAAACCCUCGUUAAGCCCAAAUUUGUCAUUGAAACUGCCGUGGCCCAAGGCAUGACCAGGUCCGGAAGGUGCUACACUCCUGAUGAGGUUUCUUCGGAGGACAGAAGAAGGACCAUGCUAAGAGGCCGAUAAGCGAGGGGGAAGCAGAAGAAUUCUGGAGAAGGAUGCAACCGAAGGACUAUUCCAUCGUCAAACAUUUAGAGAAGACUCCGGCUCAGAUCUCCGUGUGGGCCUUGCUGAUGAGCUCUCAGUCCCACAGGCAGGCCUUAAUGAAAGCUCUUGAUGAUACAUACGUACCCUCAGGUACAAGUAGUGAUAACGUGGCUUCUAUGAUUCAUCAAGUCAUUCGGGGGCACCGGAUCAGCUUUUGUGACGAUGAGUUGCCAGUCGAAGGAAGAUCCCACAACAAAGCGCUACACAUUACCGUGAUAUGUCGUGGAAAGGUUGUCAACUGUGUUUUGGUAGAUGAUGGGUCCGGUUUGAAUAUUUGCCCAUUGACGACGUUGAGGCAACUAAAUUUUGACCUUGGGAAACUGGAGCAGAAUCAGGUCAAUGUAAGGGCAUUUGAUGGUGUGCAAAGAGACACCUUGGGGGCUGUGACUUUGACCCUUCAAAUGGGCCCCGCAGAGUUCAGUGCGCAAUUCCAAGUAUUGGACAUAGACACUAGCUACAACCUUCUUUUGGGAAGGCCGUUUAUCCACAUGGCUGGAGCCGUCCCCUCUACUCUCCAUCAGAUGAUGAAGCUUGUGUGGAAAAAUGAAGAGUUAGUGAUUCACGGCGAGGGAAGUCGCUCGGGCAAGCAGGUGUCGGUCAUUGAUGAGAUGCCGCAAGGCACAGACUUUUACACGGUGGAGCUGGUGAAUGCCACCAACGAAGAUUUGGCCCUCAACUCCAUGCCAACCGUGUACAAAAUGAUAGCCACGGUGAUGUUGCAAAAUGGGUUCGAGCCAGGUUUCGGAUUGGGAAGAGAUUCCCAAGGAAUUAUUGAGCCUGUUCCGGUCCUUGCUCAGGGAUCAAAGUAUGGUUUGGGGUACAUCCCCACAGAUGAUGAUAUGAAGAUGAAGAGGAGAAGGGAUCAAGAGUUGACUAAGCCGAUCCCGCAUCUCUAUCACUCCUUUCCAAUUCGGGAGCAUGCCGAGCCUGAAGACGACGGGGAAGGAAUCUGUGACCUGUUCAAGGAGAUCAAUGCCGUCAUAGAGGAGGAGGCCGAGCCAGCUGGCUUUCGCGAUGCUGAACCGGGGGAGAUGCUGAAGAAUUGGACGUCCACACCAAUCCUGAUGUCCCGGACUUUUGGGUAGAAAGGAAUUAUUUUGUGCAUGCCAAAAUCGGUGGUCGUUCGGAAGAGGCCCGAGACCCACCAUUUCUGCAUUUUCUUGAUUUUGAAUUUUGUUAUGAUUGUUUAAAGGGCGACGUGGCCUUGUGCCAUGACCCAACUUUGCAUCUUGAUUCAAUUUAAAUGAAAGCCUCCUUAUUUUGACUUUGUUUAUUCGAUUGCUUGUUAUGUUUUACUUUUCUAAUUUUGUCUGUUUAUGAUUUCAGUAACGUAAGUUACAAACCUGCCAACGUCAUGUCAUGUCAUGAGCUAAACGAACAAAAUGAGGUAAAUGACGAUGAGGCUGACGACUACGAUGAAGAAAGUGGGGAACCAGACUAUGUAGUAGAAGAGUUUCGACAGUUCGAGAAUCAACAUAAACCGAAUCUGGAGGAAACAGAGACGGUAAAUUUGGGAGAUUCAGAAUGUGUCAAAGAGGUUAAGAUCAGCACUCACCUGAAUGAAACUCAGAAGGAGAGCCUGAUUCAUUUGCUUGCCGAAUACAGCGAUGUGUUUGUUUGGAAGGUCAGUGACAUGCAGGGGCUGAGUACCGAUGUCGUAUCUCAUAAGCUGCCUAUCAACCCAGGGUUCGAGCCAGUGAAGCAAAAGACUCGGAAAUUCAAGCCUGAGUUGAGUUUGAAGAUUAAGGAGGAAAUCACCAAGCAGAUAGAGUCCCGGUUGGUAGAAGUAACGCAAUAUCCCACCUGGUUGGCGAAUGUCGUUCCGGUCGCCAAGAAAGAUGGAAAAAUCAGGAUUUGCGUUGAUUACAGAGAUCUCAACAAGGCUAGUCCAAAGGAUAAUUUCCCGUUGCCAAAUAUCCAUAUUCUGAUUGAUAACUGUGCGAAACAUGAGAUGCAGUCAUUUGUGGAUUGUUACGCGGGUUAUCACCAGAUUCUGAUGGAUGAAGAAGACGCGGAGAAAACGGCCUUCAUCACACCUUGGGGGGUAUAUCACUACAGGGUGAUGCCGUUUGGGCUCAAAAACGCCGGUGCCACUUACAUGAGAGCCAUGACGACUAUCUUCCACGACAUGAUUCACAAGGAAAUUGAAGUGUACGUGGACGACGUCAUAAUUAAAUCCCGCGAGAGUUCGGAUCAUUUGACACACCUGCGAAAAUUCUUUGAACGUUUGCGUAGGUACAACUUGAAGCUAAAUCCCGCCAAGUGUGCUUUUGGAGUCCCAGCUGGGAAAUUGUUAGGGUUUAUAGUCAGCAGAAGAGGUAUUGAGCUCGACCCUUCCAAGAUCAAAGCAAUUCAGGAGUUACCUCCGCCGAAGACGAGAAAAGAGGUGAUGAGCUUCUUAGGGAGGUUAAACUAUAUCAGCCGUUUUAUAGCACAAUCGACGGUGGUAUGUGAGCCUAUCUUCAAGUUGCUGAAGAAAGAUGCCCCAACUAAGUGGACUGAGGAGUGCCAGACCGCUUUCGACGCUAUCAAGAGCUACUUGUCUAACCCACCAGUAUUGGUUCCUCCGCGAGAAGGGAGUCCUUUGUUGCUAUAUUUGUCUGUCUCGGAUAACGCUUUUGGAUGUGUACUUGGUCAACACGACGAGACAGGGAAGAAGGAAAAGGCUAUCUACUACAUCAGCAAGAAGUUUACUCCGUACGAGUCUCGUUACACUUUGCUGGAAAGAACAUGCUGUGCUCUGACAUGGCUUGCCCAGAAGCUGAGGCACUAUUGUCGUCGUAUACUACAUAUCUUAUCUCCAGAAUGGAUCCAUUGAAGUAUAUUUUCCGGAAAGCGAUGCCGACCGGGAAGCUGGCUAAAUGGCAAAUGCUGUUGAGUGAGUUUGACAUCGUGUACGUGACUCAGAAGGCAAUAAAAGCACAAGCUUUGGCUGAUCAUCUUGCGGAAAAUCCCGUUGAUGAAGAGUAUGAACCUCUCAAGACAUAUUUUCACGAUGAAGAAGUGUCAUUUGUGGGUGAAGAUAUCUCUGAAGUUUAUCCAGGUUGGAGAUUAUUCUUUGAUGGAGCGGUGAAUCACCAGGGUAAAGGUGUUGGAGCAGUCUUGGUAUCAGAAUCUGGUCAGCACUAUCCUAUGGCGGCUAAGCUACGGUUCAACUGCACAAACAACAUGGCUGAGUAUGAAGCUUGCAUUCUCGGUUUGAAAAUGGCCGUUGACAUGAAUGUUUACGAGUUACUGGUUAUUGGAGAUUCAGACCUCUUGAUCCAUCAAGUUCAAGGAGAAUGGGCUGUGAAGAACCCAAAGAUUGUACCUUAUGUACAAUAUGUGCAAAACCUGUGUAAAAGGUUUCGCAAGAUCGAGUUCAGACAUACUCCCCGAAUACAGAAUGAAUUAGCUGAUGCUCUUGCCACCAUCGCUUCAAUGAUCAAACAUCCGGAUAUUGAUUACAUCGACCCGCUGGAUAUAGAUUUGAAGGAGCAUCCAGUCCAUUGUUCACACGUGGAAUCAGAACCAGAUGGUUUGCCUUGGUAUUUCGACAUAAAGAGGUACUUGGAGUCUGGGACAUAUCCAGAAGACGCCACAUCUAAUCAAAAGAAGUCGAUACGUCGUAUGGCUCUCAAUUUCUUUUUGAAUGGAGAAGUCCUUUACAGGAGGACUCCAGAUUUGGGUCUUUUGAGAUGCGUGGAUGCUGCUGAAGCCGUGAGGCUUAUUGAACAGAUACAUGCUGGAGUCUGUGGCACACAUAUGAACGGGCUUACCUUGGCAAGAAAAGUCCUUCGAGCCGGUUACUUCUGGAUGACUAUGGAGAACGACUGUUGCAAAUUCGUGCAAAAAUGCCAUAAAUGUCAAGUGCACGGAGAUUUGAUAAGGGUGCCACCUCACGAACUCAAUGCUAUGAGCUCACCUUGGCCAUUUGUAGCUUGGGGAAUGGAUGUCAUCGGCCCUAUAGAACCGGCGCUUCCAAUGGACACAGAUUUUAUUUUGGUUGCCAUCGAUUAUUUCACCAAAUGGGUGGAAGCAGCCUCUUACAAAUCGGUAACCAAGAAAGUGGUGGCCGACUUUGUCCGCAACAAUCUGAUCUGCCGAUUUGGAGUUCCAGAAUCCAUCAUCACUGAUAACGGUGCAAAUCUCAACAGUCAUCUGAUGAAAGAGAUAUGUGAACAAUUUAAGAUUAUUCACCGAAGGUCAACUGCUUAUCGCCCUCAAAUGAACGGAGCUGUAGAGGCCGCCAACAAGAACAUCAAGAAGAUUCUGGGGAAAAUGAUUGACAAGCAGCGGGGUUGGCAUGAAAUGUUGCCAUAUGCUCUACUGGGUUAUCGAACGACGGUCAGAACAUCAACUGGGGCUACUCCAUACUUGCUAGUAUACGGAACAGAAGCAGUCGUACCUGUCGAAGUCGAGAUACCGUCACUGAGGAUCAUCCAAGAAGCUGAGCUAAGUAAUGCUGAGUGGGUUAGCAAACGGAUUGAUCAACUAGCCUUGAUUGAUGAAAAGAGGAUGGUUGCCGUUUGCCAUGGCCAGUUGUAUAGACAAAGAAUGACUCGCGCUUUUCACAAAAGAGUAAGAGCCAGAAAUUUUGAAAGUUGGUCAGUUGGUUCUUAAGCGUAUUUUUCCUCAUCAAGACGAGUACAAAGGAAAGUUCGCACCAAACUGGCAAGGUCCUUACAUGGUCCGCAAAGUACUAUCUGGAGGUGCUUUAGUCUUGUCAGAGAUGGAUGGCGCUGUAUGGCCCAAACCUAUCAACUCAGAUGCUGUCAAGAGAUAUUACGUGUGAAGUUCGUUUUGCAUUUCCCACCAUUUACUUGUAAUCUUCUGUUUGCUUGUAUUGGUUCGAAUUUGAAUUCUUAUCCCUCUUGUAACGAACUACGUCUGACCUGAAUUCUCGAGAAUGAGAUACGUAGGCGGCCUAUGUCGGCUUCGGUCACCCCAUUUAUUCCCCUUGAUUAUUCCUUACGUUAGAACUACGUUUGACCUGAUUCCUGCCUCAACGGGAUACGUAGGCGCCACAACGGCUCGGUCAUAUACCCAGAAGAUUUCCAUUUCUCUCCAUAAUGGAAACUGGGACAGAAUUUUUGAGAGGAUCUCAAAAUUUCAUUUGAAGUAAGACUUCUUUAACAAGUCAAAACAGAAGACCAAAUUCUACGACCUGAACUACGUUCGACCUGAAUUCUCAAGAAUGAGAUACGUAGGCGGCCUUUGUCGGCUUCGGUCGGUUUCUUUGUAAAUUUUAUUCUUGUUAACCUUUAAAGGGGAACUACGUUUGACCUGAUUCCUGCCUCAACGGGAUACGUAGGCGCCACAAGGGCUCGGUCAUAUAUCUCGUAAAUUCUAUUCCCCCCUUUCUACAAUAGAAACUGGGACAGAAUUUUGAGAGGGACUCAAAAAUUCUCCAGAAGGAACCUUCUCUUCAGCGGAUCAAACUAAAGACAUUUCGAAUUUGCGACUGGGACAGAAUUUUUUAGAAGAUCUCAAAAUUCCGAGAUCUGUUCGGUUACAAUGGAAAGAUGAACAAGAUACUAAACUGGGACAGAAAUUUUGAGGAUGGCCUCAAAAUUUUCGUCAUGGGACUUCCCCACAAGUCUGGAAUGCCUCUGAAAUUCAUUCGACAAGCGUCGGACUCAAAGAAGCUCGUUAAGCCUGACAUGACAUGACUUGGCAUUGACUUUUUCGAGAUACUAUUUCUUAAAAAAUUUCUUGCUUCUCUUAAAAAUUUCCCUUUUAUAUUUCAUCUGUUUUGGCAUAAGAUAUUUUCUUAUCUAUCAAGAGUCGAGAAAUCGGGAAAUCAACCGAGGACGUCAAGACAAGGAGCAAACAAUCGGGAUCGACACAGAUCAGUAUGUUUAAAACUGACAAUUUUUCUGUGGAUGCAGGUUUAUAGCUUCACUUCGAAAUCGGCCGAAUUCUUCCGACUGAUGAAUACGGAGAAGGCGAAAACUAUUUCCAAAGCCGGUGAUUUUAUUGAAAGCAAGAAGCAUUUCAUAUCUUUAUGCCAAGAUGCUUGUGAAUGUGUUUGUUUAUUUCAAGCCUUCCCCAAUACAUGAAAUUUACAAAGUGCCUGGCCAGAUUCAAAGGUGGAUCAAAAAGGAAUCUUAGCGAAGAUUUCACGAUUUCUAUAGAAGACGCUAUUUGCAUCGCGUUAUCAAAGCAAGAUGAUUAUUGUCGAUCAAGACAAUGCAUUACCUCAGAAGAGACAGCUAUGCAAUUAUUAUUUUUAUCAUUAUCGAUCAAGUCGAUAUAUUAUUUGGAGGUCGUCUUGCCGUUAUUAUUCACGGGGGCAAUAUAAAUAAUCAUGCAUGACGAGAAGAUUUCAUGCCUCGUCGAAAUUUAUACAUCGCGAGAAGAAUUUAUGCCUCGCUGGAAUUCAUGCAUCGCGGAGUCAUGCAUCGCGAAAAUCAUGCAUCGCGAGUCAAUAAUCAUGCAUGACGAGAAGAUUUCAUGCCUCGUCGAAAUUUAUACAUCGCGAGAAGAAUUUAUGCCUCGCUGGAAUUUCAUGCAUCGCGGAAUCAUGCAUCGCGGGAAUCAUGCAUCGCGAGUCAAUAAUCAUGCAUGACGAGAAGAUUUCAUGCCUCGUCAAAAUUUAUACAUCGCGAGAAGAAUUUAUGCCUCGCUGGAAUUCAUGCAUCGCGGAAUCAUGCAUCGCGGAAAUCAUGCAUCGCGAGUCAAUAAUCAUGCAUGACGAGAAGAUUUCAUGCCUCGUCAAAAUUUAUACAUCGCGAGAAGAAUUUAUGCCUCGCUGGAAUUCAUGCAUCGCGGAAUCAUGCAUCGCGAGUCAAUAAUCAUGCAUGACGAGAAGAUUUCAUGCCUCGUCAAAAUUUAUACAUCGCGAGAAGAAUUUAUGCCUCGCUGGAAUUCAUGCAUCGCGGAAUCAUGCAUCGCGAGUCAUAAUCAUGCAUGACGAGAAGAUUUCAUGCCUCGUCAAAAUUUAUACAUCGCGAGAAGAAUUUAUGCCUCGCUGGAAUUCAUGCAUCGCGGAAUCAUGCAUCGCGAGUCAAUAAUCAUGCAUGACGAGAAGAUUUCAUGCCUCGUCAAAAUUUAUACACAUCGCGAGAAGAAUUUAUGCCUCGCUGGAAUCAUGCAUCGCGGAAUCAUCAUCGCGGAAAUCAUGCAUCGCGAUCAAUAAUUAUGCACGACGAGAAGAUUUCAUGCCUCGUCAAAAUUUAUGCACGACGAGAAGAAUUCAAUUCAUGCCUCGUCAAGUUUUGCACAUCGCAAGAAGAUUUUAUUCUUCGCUGAAAGUUAUGCAUCGCGAGAAGAUUCAUAUCUCGCGAGAAUUUACGUAUCGCGGGAAGAUAUUCAUGCCCCGCAAGAAGACGUACUUGGAUAAAGAAAGAGCAAUACUUAUCCAUUGGCCUCGACUGCAUUAUGUUAUUUCUUAUAAAAAAAAUAAACAUCAUGGAGAGCAUCGAAGAUGACAACAAAAGAAACAUCAAUAUCGCAUCAGCAUUUAUUUAUUUAUUUUGACAGCAAGUAUGGAAUACACUGAAGAUGAUAUUGCAAAACACAAGGCAUAAGCUUUAUUUGCUGGACGUCAGACCGAUCGAGUCGACGUCGAACAUGGAGGAGAACAAUGAAGUGUCGACAUGGUAAAAGACACUGUCUCCCAUCCUAAUUGCAUUUUUAAGCUGACGAGUUUUAUCUCAGUCUUUGUCGAGCAUCCAAAAGGAUGAUUCUCCAAAAACCACAGGUGCGGACGACAUCAAAAAGGAUGCAGCAAAACGUGGAACUUUUUCUUAGCAGCGAACUGGGACCAGUCCAAAGAGGAGUGUCAAACUCUUAGGACGCGAGCAGAGGAGCGACUUCCACCACAAUCGAACCACCCUCUCGAGGCAUACGAGUUUUCUCUCUAGUUCUGUCAGUUUCCGUCUCGCUUCCGAAAGUUUUGUUUUAUCGGAAGCAAGUUUCCAAUCUGAGUGACAAUACGCCAAAAGAUUUGGAAAUAAUGUCCGUGUAAGUUCUUAAUUAUGAUGUGAAGCGCGCCACAUUCAUGCUAAGAGGUUACAAGCCUCUUUUUUCAUACUCGUUUAAUGUGUCACUCGUCCAAAACCGAAGGUUNNNNNNNNNNNNNNNNNNNNNNNNNNNNNNNNNNNNNNNNNNNNNNNNNNNNNNNNNNNNNNNNNNNNNNNNNNNNNNNNNNNNNNNNNNNNNNNNNNNNACUGGGGACUUGGAGGAUUCUAACCUUAAGAUUAACGUAUUUGAUUAUUUGUGAUUAACUGUUUAAAUGUUUAAAUUGUUUAGAUUUUUAAACUGCUGCAUACAUAGCAUACAUACUUCCGUCAAACGACACUUUUUUACAUUUCCACUAAAGGACGAUUAUGCGGGUUCGCAGUCGUUCGUUAACCAAAAAUCUUCUCGGGGCACCCUGACGAGUGUAGUUGAUUACUUGAUAGUCAACGAUCGUUAAUUGUUCCAGCCCAAGUAGUCCGCUUGGGUUACCCAUUCCACUCUAAAUACAACCCACUCUUAGUCAAACUAGGAUAGAGCGAAACCAAAUCCCGAAAAUAGCGCAUUGGCCUAAGAUGACCCGACACCCAAGGAGUGUCGGGCCCAUUAGAAAAGUCCACCUUGAGUCCAAAGAGCCUGCGGCUCGAUAGGACGCUCAUGUUUGUUGUUUAAAUUUGAAGGAUGUAUUGCGUGUUUAACGAGUUGUUGUAUCGGGGGAUUGAAAAUUAACUAGUUGUAUGUUUUUGUAGAUGUCAAGUCAGUUCCUUCACUUCAAAAUGGUCACCCAGGCACCCGACAUUCUUCGAGUAUGGUGGGAAAAUCUUAAGGAGUGUCAGAAGAGAGAGAUCUCGAUUUACUUGGGUCACCUACCUUCGAUAAUGGACUUCAAGGUAUGGCCCACGUUUAUCGAAGUCAUCACCCGAUUCUGGGACGAUAAGAAGAUGGUCUUUCGAUUUGGAGAUGUCGAAAUAAAACCCACAUUAGAAGAGAUCAAAGAUUGCCUUGACUCGAUUGGGACGUGUGGCAAAAGGAAAAAGCGUCCCGAUCAUCACAUUCUCCUGCCAGAUAGGCCAACCGAGACUGAGCUAAGAGACAUAUUAUCCCUAGUGAAUGCGAAUUGGCUAGAGACUCACAACAUUCCACUGAUGAGGUUUUUCGAGAGGUGGGGGCACGACAAUUAUUUUAGAUUGUUCCCGGACGAAUUCAUGAUCACAGUACUUGGAGGCAAACUCAAGCUAUCGCUUUCUCCGCAUGCCUCUUGGGAACUAUGGUGUUCCCUAAAGACGAAGGAAAAGAGAUCGACACCCGGGUAAUAAUGGUAGUGAAUGCCAUGUUCAGAGGAGUCGGUAGAAAAUCUGAAGAAAAGAAAUAUUGCUGUUUGGCCCCAGUCAUCCUGUCCGACAUUUACCGAUCUUUGAGCCUGUGCAAGAAUGGUUUUCCGUUUUUCCAAGGUUGCAACAUCUUACUUCAAUGGUGGUUGACGGAGCAUCUAUGCAAAAGAGACAACCCCCAGCUACAUGGUUUGGCCGAACCAAGUCAAACAAGUCCUCUCAAUAAUUACGAGUUCUACUUGAGUAUCCGUAAAUUUCCAAUUCACACCACCAGGGAUGCGUGGGCAAAGGUGUUUUACAAUUUGAAAGAAGGAGACAUACAAUGGGUAUUACCGAGCUUCAGGUCUCAGAUGAUAGCAGCCCAAGGGGCCAAAUUGCCAUUUUUAGUCCUUCCCGGCAUCAGAGGAUUGCGUCCUUACAACCCGACACGAGUAAUGCGGCAAUUUGGGAAAGUCCAAAUCAUACCCGCCCAAGGAGAUGCCAGCUCUUUCAUUGUUGAUUACAACGGGAAGGACAAAAUACCUUUCGCUAAAAUUAUCCUCCAGGAAUGGGCCGGACGUGUCAACAUGAAGUGGGAGGUCACCGAAGAUAGGUAUGGAGCUGGGUAUGUCGACGAAUAUAAGACAUGGUUGCAUAAUAAUUUGCAUGGUGUAGUGGAUCCGACACCACGCACGAGUCGGAAAAUCGAAGACGUGGAGACAAGGCUUCAGAUUCACGCGUACCAUUUUCAGCAAGAGUGGGACCGAGGGGAGCAGGAAUUCUAUAAGAAAGAACAGGAAUUUCAACAAAGGGAGCAAGCGUACCAACUCCGGGAAUUAGAAAAUCAGAGAGUUUUAGCCGUAAUGUCACAAGAAUUAGCUGACACAAGGACUUGUCUAAUGCGUUUGGACACUAUUUUGGACGAGCAGAUGAACACCUUACAAGCCGUACCAACAUCUUCCAAAGCUGCGUUCGCUGAGCCAUACGUGUUCACCAGCAAAUGCAUUAUCCGAGAAGAAGUGGAGAAGGCCAGAAGAGGAGCUGGAUCAUCGACCUUUUAACUCCCCUGCGUGGGAUUGAUUUUAUAUGUGUAUUUGCACUACAUCCCCUUCCCAAGAUAUAUCCCGUUUAAUUUUGAUUGUGUAAUGAACGCUAUGACAUCUAGUGAAAUUUGUUUCGGGGAUACAAUUACUUAUUUAAAUGGCGCAAUACAUCCUUCAGAUCGCUAGGCCUACCCUUGGCACAAAAGGGUCACAUGCAUGUUUAGGACACGAUAUAUUUGUUUAAAUGUUUAUGUUUAUGUUGCUUUGAUUGAGGAUAUCGUAAACCCACUCCUAGCCAAAAUUCAAAAGAGUAUACAGAAGCCAACAUUACAAAUGUCCGACCAAAAUUCCCGAGUCUCAAGUUUCUCACACAAAAUCCAUACCAUAAAUCCUAAAUACCGCUCUAUCAUCUCAGGAAAGUCGAAUCACCGCUAUGGACAAAGGCAAGAACGUCCAGACGGAGCUCACUGAGGAGGAAUUGCAAAGAAAGAUCGAGCGAGUCACUCGAGAGAUUCAGAAGGUUAAGGAAGAAGGACUCAAAGUAGACGCGACCACGGCGAUCUACAAAGCUGCGGUCACAACCUUGGAUGAAGAUCUGGCGUCACAGAUAAAGAGAAAGAAGGAGGUUGAGAUGGAAACCGAAAGCCUAAGGAAAAGGUUGAACUUGCUUCGUUUGGAGAUACACGAAGGAAAGGCGAGAGAGGCGAAGAUAGAUAUCGAGACUGCUGUGUUGUUGGACAGAAGCGCGGCGCUCGACGAGGAAUUGGCGACCCAUAGCGACCCAAAGGGCGGAAAAUACCUCGCCCGUGAUCAGGGAGCAGAUAACAGUGGCCCCGGCCGUGAAGUGAUUGAGGAGGAUGAUGAAGAAGAAGAAAUCGUCUACAAGCCUCCAUUUUCGACUGUCUGAAAGGAAAGGAAUGACGCAGCCACAAGACAAGAAAUCUCCAAAUGUGGUCUUCUAGAAAUCUCAAUGUUGUUUUUCAAUUCCCUUGUAAUCACAACGAAAGAAUGAAUGGAAAAUUUUCAUCCUAAAAUCCGAACUACGUUGGGCCUGAAUUCUCCCCGUGAGAUACGUAGGCAGCCUUCCCGGCCCGGCCCCUAUCACAGAAAAUUUUCAUUCUCCUCCAUGUUUCGGAGAUACGAAGAUAAGAUCAACAGACGUCGCAAAGCAGCUGCAAGAAGACCAUAGCUCAACGUGAUUCAGAUUUCCCAAGAUAGCUCCAAACAAACAAAUUCCUGUUUGUUCAAAAUAUAUAUCCGUCCUUAUUCGUGGGUUAAGAUAUCCUCAAACAAAACGACUUGUGUGUUUAUCUGUUUUAUGUGCGAUAUUAUGCAUUUUGUACUCUGGAUAUGCACUAACAAAUUUGCCUUUGAGUUGUUUUUACCUCUCAGGUACCUUUUACUGAUCUGUGUCGAUAAAGCUGGCAGAUCAUCCUUACUUCACCAGGUCAAAAGGUCCUACAGAUUCCUUCCCUCGAUCAAAUUCAGACAAAGGAAAAACAGUUAUGGGAGACAACAAUGACGAAGGGCGUCUUACUGACGUUGUGGUGGCUCAGCCCACUGUAGUGGAACAGAACGAAUUGAUCAUGCAACUGAUGCAACAGAUUGCUGAAAUGAAAGUUGAAAUGCAACGGAGACAGGAUGCGCCUCCACCUGGAUUUGGUACUAAUAUUGCUGAUGCAAGACCUCCGGUCUACUUCCCUUCAUCAAACAUAGAUCCAACUCAGAACCAGCCUUCUACACCUGUGCAUAAUCCGUCUGUGAUUGACCUCACAACCCAAAACCCUCAAUACGCUUCUGCAUCUUACCAAACUCCUUCACCUCUUCCAAAUAACCACCCUCAAAUACCACCCCAUCCUCAGAAUACUCAAACUGCCCCACCGCCACAAAAUCAAAACCAAACUCAAACUGCCUUCAAUACCCAAGCAUUUCAUCCGCAUUUGAGUCAGAACACCAAUCCUCAGGCCUACCCACAAAACUACCAGACCGCCCAAAACGUUCCAAGUCCCUCUAUAGCUCCACCCCUACCAAAAAGAGCCACCUUCCAAGUUCCCGUUCCUGCCGAGCACGAGGUGCACGGUUCUGAGUUGGAUCACUAUGAAGAACAGAAAGAGAAUGGAAGGCGAAAGAAAGAAGAAGUGAAGAUCGAUAUAAAGGAAGAAAUCAAAAGGGCUAUGAAAGAGCUGCAGUGCAUCCCAGACGCCGUCGGACUUAGCUACGCAGAAUUGUGCAUCCAUCCAGAUUUGAACCUUCCCGAAGGUUUUAAAAUUCCGAAGUUUGACACCUUCGGAGGAGUGGGCAAUCCUAUGGCGCAUUUGAGAGCGUAUUGUGACCAGCUCGUGGGAGUUGGCAGGGAUGAGGCCUUGUUGAUGCGGCUUUUCAGCCGAAGUCUGUGUGGAGAGGCCCUCGAGUGGUUUACUUCACAUGAAACCAGGCAGUGGCCCAGUUGGAAUGCAUUGGCUAAGGACUUCAUUGACCGAUUCGCCUACAAUGUUGAAAUAGUGCCCGAUCGGUAUUCUCUAGAGAAGAUGAAGCAGAAACCAACUGAAAGCUAUAGGGAAUUUGCCUAUAGGUGGAGGAAAGAAGCGGCGAGGGUAAGGCCACCCAUGACCGAGAAAGAGAUUGUGGAAGUGUUCGUGCGGGUACAGGAGCCUGAGUACUAUGAUCGAAUCAUGUUGCUGGUCGGAGCUAAAUUCGCUGAGAUAGUCAAAGUUGGUGAGACUAUCGAAGAUGGUCUAAAAUCGGGGAAGAUAGCCCGUGUAUCUGCGUCGCCUGGGUCUUCAGGAUUGAUAAGAAAGCGAAGAGAGGAAGUUGCCGCUGUCUCGUAUGGGGGAAGAAAAACCCCUAAAAACCCGUCACAUUCCCAAGAUCGUUCCAGGCCUUCCCCAAAGUCUCACCGAUCCUACUACCCACAAUCCAAUCAUCCUAAUAACCACAAUACUGUCCCCACCUAUCAGAAUGCUCAAAUUUCGUCGUACCAAGGUCCACCCUCUAAUCUCCAAAAUUUUUCUCCCAUAUUCCCAAAUUACCCUCAACCAUACCAGAUCCCAUCCCCUUAUCAGAAUAUUGCUCCCAACUGUGCCAACGUACAGUCGAGCUACCGACCACCUCCGCCCACUUAUCAAGUCCAAGCUCCAUUAUACCAGGACCCCCUCCCGAAUUACCAAGCUCCAAUGCCAAAUUUCCAGGCAAACCCUUAUCCCCGGAGCCAAGCCCCUCGUACAAAUACCCAAAAUUAUCAGCGGGUGCCUCCCCCUCGGCAAAGCAAUUAUGAUACUUCCCGUCCGAGAUCUGAAAAAAGGCCUUCAAGGAACUUUACCACACUUGCUGAAAGCCGGACCAAACUAUUUGAGAGGCUAGCCGCAGAUGGAUACAUCCACCCUGUGGGGCCCAAACCCGGGGAUGUCAACUCAAAGUUCUACAGGCCAGAUCAAAGGUGUGCUUAUCAUUCCAACAGUGUUGGACAUGACACGGAAGAUUGCAUCAACCUUAAGCACAAAAUCCAAGACCUGAUCGAUCAGGAGGUAGUUUCUCUUCAACCGGCGGUGCCAAACGUCAACACAAAUCCGUUGCCGAAUCAUGGAGGUGACAACCUUAAUAUGAUUGAAACGGAUGAAGACGGGUGUGGAACAAAGAUGAUUACCCCUAUUAUGAAUGAGGACUUGGAAAGGGCUGUCGCUUCUUUAAGCGUCAAAGAAAGGAGGAAGUUUGUUAUUCUGACACCUGCAAAGGCUGUUGCCUUGGUGCCUUCGAAAACCCUCGUUAAGCCCAAAUUUGUCAUUGAAACUGCCGUGGCCCAAGGCAUGACCAGGUCCGGAAGGUGCUACACUCCUGAUGAGCUUGCUCUCGGAGGACAGAAGAAGGACCAUGCUAAGAGGCCGAUAAGCGAGGGGGAAGCAGAAGAAUUCUGGAGAAGGAUGCAACCGAAGGACUAUUCCAUCGUCAAACAUUUAGAGAAGACUCCGGCUCAGAUCUCCGUGUGGGCCCUGCUGAUGAGCUCUCAGUCCCACAGGCAGGCCUUAAUGAAAGCUCUUGAUGAUACAUACGUACCCUCAGGUACAAGUAGUGAUAACGUGGCCGCUAUGAUUCAUCAAGUCAUUCGGGGGCACCGGAUCAGCUUUUGUGACGAUGAGUUGCCAGUCGAAGGAAGAUCCCACAACAAAGCGCUACACAUUACCGUGAUAUGUCGUGGAAAGGUUGUCAACUGUGUUUUGGUAGAUGAUGGGUCCGGUUUGAAUAUUUGCCCAUUGACGACGUUGAGGCAACUAAAUUUUGACCUUGGGAAACUGGAGCAGAAUCAGGUCAAUGUAAGGGCAUUUGAUGGUGUGCAAAGAGACACCUUAGGGGCUGUGACUUUGACCCUUCAAAUGGGCCCCGCAGAGUUCAGUGCGCAAUUCCAAGUAUUGGACAUAGACACUAGCUACAACCUUCUUUUGGGAAGGCCGUUUAUCCACAUGGCUGGAGCCGUCCCCUCUACUCUCCAUCAGAUGAUGAAGCUUGUGUGGAAAAAUGAAGAGUUAGUGAUUCACGGCGAGGGAAGUCGCUCGGGCAAGCAGGUGUCGGUCAUUGAUGAGAUGCCGCAAGGCGCAGACUUUUACACGGUGGAGCUGGUGAAUGCCACCAACGAAGAUUUGGCCCUCAACUCCAUGCCAACCGUGUACAAAAUGAUAGCCACGGUGAUGUUGCAAAAUGGGUUCGAGCCAGGUUUCGGAUUGGGAAGAGAUUCCCAAGGAAUUAUUGAGCCUGUUCCGGUCCUUGCUCAGGGAUCAAAGUAUGGUUUGGGGUACAUCCCCACAGAUGAUGAUAUGAAGAUGAAGAGGAGAAGGGAUCAAGAGUUGACUAAGCCGAUCCCGCAUCUCUAUCACUCCUUUCCAAUUCGGGAGCAUGCCGAGCCUGAAGACGACGGGGAAGGAAUCUGUGACCUGUUCAAGGAGAUCAAUGCCGUCAUAGAGGAGGAGGCCGAGCCAGCUGGCUUUCGCGAUGCUGAACCGGGGGAGAUGCUGAAGAAUUGGACGUCCACACCAAUCCUGAUGUCCCGGACUUUUGGGUAGAAAGGAAUUAUUUUGUGCAUGCCAAAAUCGGUGGUCGUUCGGAAGAGGCCCGAGACCCACCAUUUCUGCAUUUUCUUGAUUUUGAAUUUUGUUAUGAUUGUUUAAAGGGCGACGUGGCCUUGUGCCAUGACCCAACUUUGCAUCUUGAUUCAAUUUAAAUGAAAGCCUCCUUAUUUUGACUUUGUUUAUUCGAUUGCUUGUUAUGUUUUACUUUUCUAAUUUUGUCUGUUUAUGAUUUCAGUAACGUAAGUUACAAACCUGCCAACGUCAUGUCAUGUCAUGAGCUAAACGAACAAAAUGAGGUAAAUGACGAUGAGGCUGACGACUACGACGAAGAAAGUGGGGAACCAGACUAUGUAGUAGAAGAGUUUCGACAGUUCGAGAAUCAACAUAAACCGAAUCUGGAGGAAACAGAGACGGUAAAUUUGGGAGAUUCAGAAUGUGUCAAAGAGGUUAAGAUCAGCACUCACCUGAAUGAAACUCAGAAGGAGAGCCUGAUUCAUUUGCUUGCCGAAUACAGCGAUGUGUUUGUUUGGAAGGUCAGUGACAUGCAGGGGCUGAGUACCGAUGUCGUAUCUCAUAAGCUGCCUAUCAACCCAGGGUUCGAGCCAGUGAAGCAAAAGACUCGGAAAUUCAAGCCUGAGUUGAGUUUGAAGAUUAAGGAGGAAAUCACCAAGCAGAUAGAGUCCCGGUUGGUAGAAGUAACGCAAUAUCCCACCUGGUUGGCGAAUGUCGUUCCGGUCGCCAAGAAAGAUGGAAAAAUCAGGAUUUGCGUUGAUUACAGAGAUCUCAACAAGGCUAGUCCAAAGGAUAAUUUCCCGUUGCCAAAUAUCCAUAUUCUGAUUGAUAACUGUGCCAAACAUGAGAUGCAGUCAUUUGUGGAUUGUUACGCGGGUUAUCACCAGAUUCUGAUGGAUGAAGAAGACGCGGAGAAAACGGCCUUCAUCACACCUUGGGGGGUAUAUCACUACAGGGUGAUGCCGUUUGGGCUCAAAAACGCCGGUGCCACUUACAUGAGAGCCAUGACGACUAUCUUCCACGACAUGAUUCACAAGGAAAUUGAAGUGUACGUGGACGACGUCAUAAUUAAAUCCCGCGAGAGUUCGGAUCAUUUGACACACCUGCGAAAAUUCUUUGAACGUUUGCGUAGGUACAACUUGAAGCUAAAUCCCGCCAAGUGUGCUUUUGGAGUCCCAGCUGGGAAAUUGUUAGGGUUUAUAGUCAGCAGAAGAGGUAUUGAGCUCGACCCUUCCAAGAUCAAAGCAAUUCAGGAGUUACCUCCGCCGAAGACGAGAAAAGAGGUGAUGAGCUUCUUAGGGAGGUUAAACUAUAUCAGCCGUUUUAUAGCACAAUCGACGGUGGUAUGUGAGCCUAUCUUCAAGUUGCUGAAGAAAGAUGCCCCAACUAAGUGGACUGAGGAGUGCCAGACCGCUUUCGACGCUAUCAAGAGCUACUUGUCUAACCCACCAGUAUUGGUUCCUCCGCGAGAAGGGAGUCCUUUGUUGCUAUAUUUGUCUGUCUCGGAUAACGCCUUUGGAUGUGUACUUGGUCAACACGACGAGACAGGGAAGAAGGAAAAGGCUAUCUACUACAUCAGCAAGAAGUUUACUCCGUACGAGUCUCGUUACACUUUGCUGGAAAGAACAUGCUGUGCUCUGACAUGGCUUGCCCAGAAGCUGAGGCACUAUUGUCGUCGUAUACUACAUAUCUUAUCUCCAGAAUGGAUCCAUUGAAGUAUAUUUUCCGGAAAGCGAUGCCGACCGGGAAGCUGGCUAAAUGGCAAAUGCUGUUGAGUGAGUUUGACAUCGUGUACGUGACUCAGAAGGCAAUAAAAGCACAAGCUUUGGCUGAUCAUCUUGCGGAAAAUCCCGUUGAUGAAGAGUAUGAACCUCUCAAGACAUAUUUUCACGAUGAAGAAGUGUCAUUUGUGGGUGAAGAUAUCUCUGAAGUUUAUCCAGGUUGGAGAUUAUUCUUUGAUGGAGCGGUGAAUCACCAGGGUAAAGGUGUUGGAGCAGUCUUGGUAUCAGAAUCUGGUCAGCACUAUCCUAUGGCGGCUAAGCUACGGUUCAACUGCACAAACAACAUGGCUGAGUAUGAAGCUUGCAUUCUCGGUUUGAAAAUGGCCGUUGACAUGAAUGUUUACGAGUUACUGGUUAUUGGAGAUUCAGACCUCUUGAUCCAUCAAGUUCAAGGAGAAUGGGCUGUGAAGAACCCAAAGAUUGUACCUUAUGUACAAUAUGUGCAAAACCUGUGUAAAAGGUUUCGCAAGAUCGAGUUCAGACAUACUCCCCGAAUACAGAAUGAAUUAGCUGAUGCUCUUGCCACCAUCGCUUCAAUGAUCAAACAUCCGGAUAUUGAUUACAUCGACCCGCUGGAUAUAGAUUUGAAGGAGCAUCCAGUCCAUUGUUCACACGUGGAAUCAGAACCAGAUGGUUUGCCUUGGUAUUUCGACAUAAAGAGGUACUUGGAGUCUGGGACAUAUCCAGAAGACGCCACAUCUAAUCAAAAGAAGUCGAUACGUCGUAUGGCUCUCAAUUUCUUUUUGAAUGGAGAAGUCCUUUACAGGAGGACUCCAGAUUUGGGUCUUUUGAGAUGCGUGGAUGCUGCUGAAGCCGUGAGGCUUAUUGAACAGAUACAUGCUGGAGUCUGUGGCACACAUAUGAACGGGCUUACCUUGGCAAGAAAAGUCCUUCGAGCCGGUUACUUCUGGAUGACUAUGGAGAACGACUGUUGCAAAUUCGUGCAAAAAUGCCAUAAAUGUCAAGUGCACGGAGAUUUGAUAAGGGUGCCACCUCACGAACUCAAUGCUAUGAGCUCACCUUGGCCAUUUGUAGCUUGGGGAAUGGAUGUCAUCGGCCCUAUAGAACCGGUCGCUUCCAAUGGACACAGAUUUAUUUUGGUUGCCAUCGAUUAUUUCACCAAAUGGGUGGAAGCAGCCUCUUACAAAUCGGUAACCAAGAAAGUGGUGGCCGACUUUGUCCGCAACAAUCUGAUCUGCCGAUUUGGAGUUCCAGAAUCCAUCAUCACUGAUAACGGUGCAAAUCUCAACAGUCAUCUGAUGAAAGAGAUAUGUGAACAAUUUAAGAUUAUUCACCGAAGGUCAACUGCUUAUCGCCCUCAAAUGAACGGAGCUGUAGAGGCCGCCAACAAGAACAUCAAGAAGAUUCUGGGGAAAAUGAUUGACAAGCAGCGGGGUUGGCAUGAAAUGUUGCCAUAUGCUCUACUGGGUUAUCGAACGACGGUCAGAACAUCAACUGGGGCUACUCCAUACUUGCUAGUAUACGGAACAGAAGCAGUCGUACCUGUCGAAGUCGAGAUACCGUCACUGAGGAUCAUCCAAGAAGCUGAGCUAAGUAAUGCUGAGUGGGUUAGCAAACGGAUUGAUCAACUAGCCUUGAUUGAUGAAAAGAGGAUGGUUGCCGUUUGCCAUGGCCAGUUGUAUAGACAAAGAAUGACUCGCGCUUUUCACAAAAGAGUAAGAGCCAGAAAUUUUAAAGUUGGUCAGUUGGUUCUUAAGCGUAUUUUUCCUCAUCAAGACGAGUACAAAGGAAAGUUCGCACCAAACUGGCAAGGUCCUUACAUGGUCCGCAAAGUACUAUCUGGAGGUGCUUUAGUCUUGUCAGAGAUGGAUGGCGCUGUAUGGCCCAAACCUAUCAACUCAGAUGCUGUCAAGAGAUAUUACGUGUGAAGUUCGUUUUGCAUUUCCCACCAUUUACUUGUAAUCUUCUGUUUGCUUGUAUUGGUUCGAAUUUGAAUUCUUAUCCCUCUUGUAACGAACUACGUCUGACCUGAAUUCUCGAGAAUGAGAUACGUAGGCGGCCUAUGUCGGCUUCGGUCACCCCAUUUAUUCCCCUUGAUUAUUCCUUACGUUAGAACUACGUUUGACCUGAUUCCUGCCUCAACGGGAUACGUAGGCGCCACAACGGCUCGGUCAUAUACCCAGAAGAUUUCCAUUUCUCUCCAUAAUGGAAACUGGGACAGAAUUUUUGAGAGGAUCUCAAAAUUUCAUUUGAAGUAAGACUUCUUUAACAAGUCAAAACAGAAGACCAAAUUCUACGACCUGAACUACGUUCGACCUGAAUUCUCAAGAAUGAGAUACGUAGGCGGCCUUUGUCGGCUUCGGUCGGUUUCUUUGUAAAUUUUAUUCUUGUUAACCUUUAAAGGGGAACUACGUUUGACCUGAUUCCUGCCUCAACGGGAUACGUAGGCGCCACAAGGGCUCGGUCAUAUAUCUCGUAAAUUCUAUUCCCCCCUUCUACAAUAGAAACUGGGACAGAAUUUUGAGAGGGACUCAAAAAUUCUCCAGAAGGAACCUUCUCUUCAGCGGAUCAAACUAAAGACAUUUCGAAUUUGCGACUGGGACAGAAUUUUUAGAAGAUCUCAAAAAUUCCGAGAUCUGUUCGGUUACAAUGGAAAGAUGAACAAGAUACUAAACUGGGACAGAAAUUUUGAGGAUGGCCUCAAAAUUUCGUCAUGGGACUUCCCCACAAGUCUGGAAUGCCUCUGAAAUUCAUUCGACAAGCGUCGGACUCAAAGAAGCUCGUUAAGCCUGACAUGACAUGACUUGGCAUUGACUUUUUCGAGAUACUAUUUCUUAAAAAAUUUCUUGCUUCUCUUAAAAAUUUCCCUUUUAUAUUUCAUCUGUUUUGGCAUAAGAUAUUUUCUUAUCUAUCAAGAGUCGAGAAAUCGGGAAAUCAACCGAGGACGUCAAGACAAGGAGCAAACAAUCGAAGGGAUCGACACAGAUCAGUAUGUUUAAAACUGACAAUUUUUCUGUGGAUGCAGGUUUAUAGCUUCACUUCGAAAUCGGCCGAAUUCUUCCGACUGAUGAAUACGGAGAAGGCGAAAACUAUUUCCAAAGCCGGUGAUUUUAUUGAAAGCAAGAAGCAUUUCAUAUCUUUAUGCCAAGAUGCUUGUGAAUGUGUUUGUUUAUUUCAAGCCGUUCCCCAAUACAUGAAAUUUACAAAGUGCCUGGCCAGAUUCAAAGGUGGAUCAAAAAGGAAUCUUAGCGAAGAUUUCACGAUUUCUAUAGAAGACGCUAUUUGCAUCGCGUUAUCAAAGCAAGAUGAUUAUUGUCGAUCAAGACAAUGCAUUACCUCAGAAGAGACAGCUAUGCAAUUAUUAUUUUUAUCAUUAUCGAUCAAGUCGAUAUAUUAUUUGGAGGUCGUCUUGCCGUUAUUAUUCACGGGGGCAAUAUAAAUAAUCAUGCAUGACGAGAAGAUUUCAUGCCUCGUCGAAAUUUAUACAUCGCGAGAAGAAUUUAUGCCUCGCUGGAAUUCAUGCAUCGCGGAGUCAUGCAUCGCGAAAAUCAUGCAUCGCGAGUCAAUAAUCAUGCAUGACGAGAAGAUUUCAUGCCUCGUCGAAAUUUAUACAUCGCGAGAAGAAUUUAUGCCUCGCUGGAAUUCAUGCAUCGCGGAAUCAUGCAUCGCGGGAAUCAUGCAUCGCGAGUCAAUAAUCAUGCAUGACGAGAAGAUUUCAUGCCUCGUCAAAAUUUAUACAUCGCGAGAAGAAUUUAUGCCUCGCUGGAAUUCAUGCAUCGCGGAAUCAUGCAUCGCGGAAAUCAUGCAUCGCGAGUCAAUAAUCAUGCAUGACGAGAAGAUUUCAUGCCUCGUCAAAAUUUAUACAUCGCGAGAAGAAUUUAUGCCUCGCUGGAAUUCAUGCAUCGCGGAAUCAUGCAUCGCGAGUCAAUAAUCAUGCAUGACGAGAAGAUUUCACGCCUCGUCAAAAUUUAUACAUCGCGAGAAGAAUUUAUGCCUCGCUGGAAUUCAUGCAUCGCGGAAUCAUGCAUCGCGAGUCAAUAAUCAUGCAUGACGAGAAGAUUUCAUGCCUCGUCAAAAUUUAUACAUCGCGAGAAGAAUUUAUGCCUCGCUGGAAUUCAUGCAUCGCGGAAUCAUGCAUCGCGAGUCAAUAAUCAUGCAUGACGAGAAGAUUUCAUGCCUCGUCAAAAUUUAUACAUCGCGAGAAGAAUUUAUGCCUCGCUGGAAUUCAUGCAUCGCGGAAUCAUGCAUCGCGGAAAUCAUGCAUCGCGAGUCAAUAAUUAUGCACGACGAGAAGAUUUCAUGCCUCGUCAAAAUUUAUGCACGACGAGAAGAAUUCAUGCCUCGUCAAAGUUUGCACAUCGCAAGAAGAUUUUAUUCUUCGCUGAAAGUUAUGCAUCGCGAGAAGAUUCAUAUCUCGCGAGAAUUUACGUAUCGCGGGAAGAUAUUCAUGACCCGCAAGAAGACGUACUUGGAUAAAGAAAGAGCAAUACUUAUCCAUUGGCCUCGACUGCAUUAUGUUAUUUCUUAUAAAAAUAAACAUCAUGGAGAGCAUCGAAGAUGACAACAAAAGAAACAUCAAUAUCGCAUCAGCAUUUAUUUAUUUAUUUUGACAGCAAGUAUGGAAUACACUGAAGAUGAUAUUGCAAAACACAAGGCAUAAGCUUUAUUUGCUGGACGUCAGACCGAUCGAGUCGACGUCGAACAUGGAGGAGAACAAUGAAGUGUCGACAUGGUAAAAGACACUGUCUCCCAUCCUAAUUGCAUUUUUAAGCUGACGAGUUUUAUCUCAGUCUUUGUCGAGAGCAUCCAAAAGGAUGAAUUCUCCAAAAACCACAGGUGCGGACGACAUCAAAAAGGAUGCAGCACAACGUGGAACUUUUUCUUAGCAGCGAACUGGGACACAGUCCAAAGAGGAGUGUCAAACUCUUAGGACGCGAGCAGAGGAGCGACUUCCACCACAAUCGAAACACCCUCUCGAGGCAUACGAGUUUUCUCUAGUCCUGUCAAUUUCUGUCUCGCUUCCGAAAGUUUUGUUUUAUCGGAAGCAAGUUUCCAAUCUGAGUGACAAUACGCCAAAAGAUUUGGAAAUUAUGUCCGUGUAAGUUCUUAAUUAUGGAUGUGAAGCGCGCCACAUUCAUGGCUAAGAGGUUACAAGCCUCUUUUUCAUACUCGUUUAAUGUGUCACUCGUCCAAAACCGAAGGUUAGCUAGCAUAAUAGUUUUCCUUUUCCAACGAUCGAGUCGAACUACACACAGCCUGAUUCCGAAGGUUUAAGGGUAUGUAGGCGGAUUCAAUGUUGAAAACUCAGCUGUAUUCCAACAUUCGCUCUCGAAUUCUAUUCUCGAGCAUUUCGAUACCUUCAUAAUUCGGUGUCAAGGUGGCUUUUGAUUCUUUGAAAUCGUGCGGUAAAUCAAGCUUAUCGAACUACAAGUGGCCUGAAUUCUCAUAUAGCCUGAGGUAUGUAGGAGACCCGUUUGCAAGGGUUCGGCCAUAAUUCCUAAACUCUUUGACAAAUCCUUCUUCCUGAAGGCGAGUGGAGUUGGUCAAAAUUGGUUCGGUCAACUUCAUUUUCCUCGAGUUGCUUGCAUCCACCCAAGUAAAAUGAGGGACAGUUGUUGACACCCAAUUUUGACCCGCGUCGGUAUGAGUUAGUUAGUUUUAUAAACCUUGCGAAAAUAAAUAUAUGUACAUAUAUACAUAUAUGUAUAUACAUAUAUGUAUAUGUAUAUAUGUAUAUCUUGAACCCAUUCCUUUACCCAUCAGCCCACUCUUAUUCCGAGGCCCACUUUCGUCCUCAACCCAUUUUGCCUAAAUUCCUUACACCCAAUAUUCCCAACAGCCCACAGACUCAAGGCCCAAUUCCCCCCAGACGCCCAUCCUCUUCAACCCAGUCCAACAUCCCCUUUUAUUUCUUUUAAAAAAUACCAACCCAACACACAUUUUUAAAACAAGCCCAACAAAUUAAUCCCAACACCCAAUUCUUUUAUUCUCCAGCCCAACCCAAUUCACCAUAACCCAUCCUACCCGACCCAGAACCCAUCCUACCCGACCCGACCCGUUCCCCUUUCCUUCUUCUCCCCUCACCCCACGCGAACCCAGCAAAACAGAAAGCCAAAAUUCCCAAACAAUUCCCAGAUGCGCAGCCACGCGACCCCCUCCCCACGCUCUCUCCUCGCUCUCUCCCUUCCUCUUAUCCUCUCCCCGCGUCUCCCCCACGCUCGCUCUCUCCUUCCCCUCUCGACAAAAACCCAUAAUUCCCCAGAAAUCACGCGAAAAACAGAGAGACUCCAACAACCCCACGCUCUUCUCCUUCCAUCUUUCUCUUCGCGUGAACCAAACGGAAGCGCAGAGACCCAUACGCUGUCGAGUAGGUCUGCGAGGUGUCAAUUUCAUCCUCUCCAACACGCCUGUGCCAUGUGAAGUUUGACCGAAACGGGAUUUAGUUUCGAUUUCAAAAGGAGAAAAGGGGGGCUAUUUCUUCUCCUCUAUAAAUACCCCUUUUCUUCAUCAGAAAAGGGGUGAGAGAUUUUUUCAUCGAAAAAUUCGGAAAAGCAGAACUUGGAGCGCUGGGAAUUUUGGGAGUUGAAAGAAUGUUAGAUAUUUGAGAUUUUUGAAAAAGAAAAGAAAGACACAGAAAAGGGUUAGGGAUUUUGGUUGAGAAAAUUUUCGAAAAAAAAAGACUCUGCUUCUUCCGUCUCUUGUUAGGAAAUUUUGGGUUGGGAACGUUGUUUGAAAUUCUGGGUUUAUUCCAUUGUUUCUGAGAUAACCAAAAGAAGUUAGAAAAUUUGGUUAGAAAUUCUGGUUUAGGAAGACUUUGAAGAAGAUUUCUUCCUGUCCUGUUCGUGUAGCAAAACAGUCGGGAUUUUUCGGGAAUAGGACUCCAAUACGAAGAACAAACGAGAUAAACGUCUAGCCGUGGGUCGCGUGGGGAAGUCAUCGUCGUCUGCUCGCCGUCAUCCCUGUUCCGCUGCUCCGAGAAAGGUACAUGUCCCAUUUUUCUUUAUUAUUUUAAAUUUUCUUUAUGGAGUUGAGUCGUGGUUUGUGGUGCUGUCAACAUGAGGUAUCAUAUUUCGUUUGGUUGUUUAAGUCUGGAAUAUGUCUUACGUUGUGAUUCUGUCCCAAUGUGAUGGUUCGUCGACAUUGCUUCUCUGUUUGUCUUCACGAGUUAGUCAUGACUUUGUAUUUGUUUCGAGGAGCCUUCGCCGUAUGACAUGUGAUGUUUGUUAAUCGACUUGCUGGCCCUUUCUUAGUUUGUGGUCGAACAUGUUGAGAUACUCGAAAAUGUGAAUAUACAUGGUCGGUUGAGCUUGUCUUUGUGGUUUGUUAACACUGUCGCUGCUUUGCUUGCCAUUUAGAACUUUCAAUAUAUGCUAGCUUAAUCUCGUAGAACACUAUUUAUUCGUCACAUGAUUGGAAUGAGAUUGUUAAGACAUAUUGGCAAGAGCUUCUGUGAAAUGACUCAUUAAUCCGAGUAUCGAUGUCUAUUCGUUAAAGCAGGCUCUUGGAUUGUUUGUAUGCAUGUAUGUAUGUUUAGAGUGUAAUUUUCCCUUGUUGUCUCGUCCAAGCUUGCUCAUGAUGUCUAUCUCGCGGGAGUUGUAGUUGUAAGCUUCUUUUCAAUCGAACCUUCUUCAAGCUUUUGGUUCGAGUAUCGCUUUAAGAAUAUAUGAGGGUUGUUUAUUCUCUAUAAUGUAUUUAUCUCCCAAACUUGUUAUCUUGUUUAGAUAUCAUGUUUGUCAGGCGUCUUGCAUGAAAGUUUCGUUUUGUAUGCCGUAUGGGUGGUGUGGAUUUUGGAAAUCUGUGGUUUGAAAGGCCAUCUUUAUCUUGGUGGCCACUUGUGUUAGCUGUCCGAGGUCACAGCCAUGUAGUAGGUCGAUUGAAUGGUCCUUUCGCUUAGUGUGUUAGAUGUUUGGGUGAUAAGGUGAUCGGGAUCCUGUUUUAUUUGAUGAGGCUGUCCUCUUAUGAUUGGUUCAAGUUUGUUUCAAAUGUUUGAAGCGCAAAACGGCUAAUUGAUACUCAAUUUAUGAUGCAUCUCUAUUUGUAUUCGUUAUUUAUCCCAUGCUAAGUCCUUUCUUUAAAUAUAAAAUUUGGAAAUUACCAACAAUUUUGUGUGAAGGUUUCACUACACUUGGGGUUUCGCCGCACAGUUUACGUAUCGUUAUGUAGUGUCAUUUAGGUUGACUGAUUUGCAUAUCUCUAAGUACCAUUAAGGUUGUUGGAUGUUGGCUUUGCUUCUCAUGAAGAUUUAAUUAGUAUUGCAUUAUAAAGAUAUCCUUGUUAUGCUUUAGAACCUUGCUUAUUCUAAUUGUAGUUUUAAAAAUGCCAAUCUUCAUUUUAUCGUUUUUUUUGUGACAUGUGAAAACUCCCCGUGAGUCCAUUAUGGGAAUCCCAUUAUCCUCCUCGCAUUUCGAGAGAGUCUUGAAGACUCUGAACUUUAUCGAGUCAAUUCAUCAAAACGAGCAAGUGUAGAAAGACAAGGGUCAUGGAGAUUGAAGACGAUGGACUAAAAGACUUUUCUUUCGUUUUAUUUUACUUUGCAUAUUUUGUAAUGGGCCUAAGCCCUCUUGUCGUUUUUUUGUUUUCUAUAUUAUGUUUGUAUGUUUAGAUUAGGACAGGUACAGAAAUGGGCUAAAAAACCCAAAGGCAGGUGGGUCCAACAUUCGGUCAAGGAUAACAGAACCCGGAGUUGGACCCAAAUCUCUCUCUCUCUAUCCUUCUCUUUACUAUUUGCUUAUCUUAUUUUGUUUUCAAUGCCGUUAGCUUAGGAUUAGGAAACUCCAAACCCUCAUCGAACGCCUGUUAUUUUAUCAAACCUAAAAAUUUUUAAAACUAACUUCUAAAUGAUAAAUUGUUUCAAAUUCGUAAGGCUUGUUUAGAUAAAACCUUGAGUAAGCUUAACUUUGAAAUGGUUUCGUAAACUGGCAAGAUAAACAAUAAAUAUUUCAAAAUUGGCUAAGUUUGGCUAAGUAAGUCAUGUUAAAAGUUCAAAUAAAUUUGCAAAGGUUAAAAAUAAAAAUAAUCAAAUAGUUAAUCAUUGGAAAACCGUAAGUUAACGGAGUGUUUUGGGUGCCUUACACCUUCCUAAGAUACUAAUAGGAAUCCCGAACCCUUAAAAUGUUUCAAAACAAUUUUUUCUGUUUAAGUUGUUUAGAAACGAAGUUUUCUUGAUUUUUCUUAAAAAUUAAGUGGCGACUCCUAAAAGUCUAAAAACAAACUCUUUUCGAAAAUCACCACCCUUUUUCGAU
rnacentral:lncRNA from 1 species